rnacentral:rRNA from 1 species
CCUACGGGAGGCAGCAGGGAGGAAUAUUGGUCAAUGGACGAGAGUCUGAACCAGCCAAGUAGCGUGAAGGAUGACUGCCCUAUGGGUUGUAAACUUCUUUUAUAUGGGAAUAAAAUGUUCCACGUGUGGGAUUUUGUAUGUACCAUAUGAAUAAGGAUCGGCUAACUACGUGCCAGCAGCCGCGGUAAUACGGAGGAUCCGAGCGUGAUCCGGAUUUAUUGGGUUUAAAGGGAUCGUAGGUGGAUUGUUAAGUCAGUUGUGAAAGUUUGCGGCUCAACCGUAAAAUUGCAGUUGAAACUGGCAGUCUUGAGUACAGUAGAGGUGGGCGGAAUUCGUGGUGUAGCGGUGAAAUGCUUAGAUAUCACGAAGAACUCCGAUUGCGAAGGCAGUUCACUGGACUGCAACUGACACUGAGGCUCGAAAGUGUGGGUAUCAAACAGGAUUAGAUACCCUUGUAGUC